GGCGAUGUGGUUCAAUGGUAGAACAUCUAGGAUAUAGCCCGCGAACGGCCUGUGUGGCCAUAGAGUGUACGAUGCUUGUGUUCGAGCGUGCGUACUGGAGGGUAUACCUGGAAGGUACCUGGUUCAAAUCCAGGCGUCGUCA